ACUAACCAGGUGUAUUUGCAUUUAGAUUUUUCGUGUCUAUGGGGUUAUGAGUUUAGUAACGGUUAGGU
rnacentral:tRNA from 1 species